UACGGAGGGUGCAAGCGUUAAUCGGAAUCACUGGGCGUAAAGCGCACGUAGGCGGCACGUUAAGUCAGAUGUGAAACCCCUGGGCUCAACCUGGGAAUGGCAUUUGAUACUAGCGCGCUCGAGUCUGAUAGAGGGGGGUGGAAUUCCAGGUGUAGCGGUGAAAUGCGUAGAUAUCUGGAGGAACACCGGUGGCGAAGGCGGCCCCCUGGAUCAUGACUGACGCUGAGGUGCGAAAGCGUGGGUAGCAAACAGGAUUAGAAACCCUAGUAGUCC
rnacentral:rRNA from 1 species